ensembl:lncRNA
GAUAAAUGUUUUAUUUUGUCGUGUUUGGUAUGCAGCAUCAUUUUGAUUUUUAUUAGAUUAGUCUUUUCUUUUGACUUCUUUUCUUGCAGGCUCUUUCUGAAGGCAACAUUAUAAGGCUUCAAAAAUAGCACAGUGAGCCAAGAGAAACUGCAAAGACACCGCUGUGGGAUGGUGAUUUGGAUAUAAAAUUCUCUGAGCCAGGUGACAUGUUUAUGACUAACUCACGUCAGACUUACUCAUUUAGUAUUGGCACUAUUUCAAGUAAAAAAGAAUUCUCUUUUUCUAAUCUUUCAGAAGAUAUUAUUAAUUUAAAAGAUAGCUAAAAGGUGCCAUGAGGUUGAGGACAAAAGCAGAUGGCAUAUUCCAGUGUGUGUUUCUGUCCCCUGACAUGGAAUGGUCAGUGGAAAUCCUGUGAUUAUUUUUUGCAGGGUAUGAUAAGCUGUUGGACCAUCUUAGACAACCAUCUAGACCCUGGAGCCAUUGUAGUUUGGGGUGAUCACCAAAACCAGACAGUUUUAUGAUCAUGAAGUUUAGAUGGCAGAGAGAGAAGGAGAAAGAAAAUUAAGUAAGCCUACAUAUUUUUCCUUUUUAAAAACUGAUUUCUUUUAAAUAGAUAAAAUUUUAUACAUUUAUCAUAUACAACAUGAUGUUUUAAAAUAUAUAUACAUUGUGGAAUGGUUAAAUCUAGUUAAUUAAAAUAUGCAUUACCUCACGGUUAUUUUUUGUGGUGAGUACAUUUUACAUCCAUUCUGUUAGCAUAUUUCAAUAAUAUAACAUAUUGUCAUUAACUAUAGUCACCAUGUGGUCCAAUAGAUCUCUUGAACUUAUUUCUCCAGUCCAACUAUAAUUUUGUAUUGUUUGACCAUUGUCUUUCUAGCCCUUCCCCAUCCCUGCAAGUGCCCCAGCCUCUGGUAAGUACUACUGGACUCUCUACUUCUAUGAGAUCAACUUUUUUAGAUUCCACAUAUGAAUGAGAUCAUGUGGUAUUUGUCUUUCUGUGCUUGGCUUAUUCUACUUAAUAUAAUGUCCCCCAGGUUCAUCCAUGUUUUUGCAAAUUUAUAAGAUUUCUUUAUUUUUUUUUAUAGCUGAAUAGUAUUCCAUUGUGAACAUACACUACAUUUUCUUUAUCCAUUAAUCUGUUGAUGGACACUUAGGUUGAUUUCAUAUCUUGGCUAAUGUGGAUAAUGCUGCAAUAAACAUGGGAGUGCAGGUAUCUCUCUGACACACUGAUUUCCUUUCCUUUGGGUAUAUAACCAGGAGAAGAAUAGCUGGAUCAUAUAGUAAUUCUAUUUUUAGUUUUUUUUGAGGAAUCUUCAUACUAUUUUUAUAAUGGCUGUACUAAUUUGCAUUCCCAUCGCCAGUUUACAAGUAUUUUCUCCACAGCCUUAUCAACAUUUAUCUUUUGUCUUUUUGAUUGUAGCCAUUCUAAUAGGAGUGAGGUGAGAUCUCAUUGUGGUUUUCAUUUGCAUAUCUCUGAUGAUUAGUGAUAUUGAGAAUGUUUUCAUAUACCUGUUGGCCAUGUAUAUGUCUUCUUUUGAGCUAUGUCUGUUUAGCAUAUUUGCACAUUUUAAAAUCAGAUUUAUUUUUUAAUUUUUUAUUUGCUGUUGAGUUGUUUGAGUUUCUUAUAUAUUCUGGAUAUUAAUCCCUUAUCAGAUGUAUAGUGUAAAAACGCUUUCCAC